UACGGAAGGCAGCAGUGGGGAAUAUUGCACAAUGGGCGCAAGCCUGAUGCAGCCAUGCCGCGUGUAUGAAGAAGGCCUUCGGGUUGUAAAGUACUUUCAGUCGUGAGGAAGGUGUUAAGGUUAAUAACCUUAGCAAUUGACGUUAGCGACAGAAGAAGCACCGGCUAACUCCGUGCCAGCAGCCGCGGUAAUACGGAGGGUGCGAGCGUUAAUCGGAAUUACUGGGCGUAAAGGGCACGCAGGCGGUUAAUUAAGUUGGAUGUGAAAUCCCCGGGCUUAACCUGGGAAUGGCAUUCAAGACUGGUUAGCUAGAGUCUUGUAGAGGGGGUAGAAUUCCAUGUGUAGCGGUGAAAUGCGUAGAGAUGUGGAGGAAUACCGGUGGCGAAGGCGGCCCCUGGACAAAGGCUGACGCUCAUGUGCGAAAGCGUGGGGAGCAAACAGGGAUUAGAUA
rnacentral:rRNA from 1 species